UACGUAGGGGGCAAGCGUUGUCCGGAUUUAUUGGGCGUAAAGAGCGUGUAGGCGGCCAGGUAGGUCCGUUGUGAAAACUAGAGGCUUAACCUCUAGACGUCGAUGGAAACCAUCUGGCUAGAGUCCGGAAGAGGAGAGUGGAAUUCCUGGUGUAGCGGUGAAAUGCGCAGAUAUCGAGAGGAACACCUGCGGCGAAGGCGGGUUGCUGGGCCGACACUGACGCUGAUGCGCGAAAGCCAGGGGAGCAAACGGG
rnacentral:rRNA from 1 species